AGCAUACCAUGUGUUACACAGCAGAUACUGAAGCUGUAAACAGUAAAUUCAUACUUACGAUGUUAGAAAAAUAAGAUUCUGAUUAUGAAACAAAAGGUUGUUUUCAGUUGAAGAAGUAAAUAAUAGUAAGAAUAAGGAAUUUUGCAAAAGCCAAGCCUUCAGAUGGUCAGAUAAAGUACCUGAUGCUGAAAAACAGGAAAUUGAAUCAUGUCUCCAAAAUGUGCCUUUUGUCAUGCACUGUUACAGCUAUAUUUCUUGUAACUACAUUCAGCCUCCAGCCAAGAUAAAGAAUUAUGUGAUACAUACUUCAUCUUCCAUCACUGCUUUCAAAAGAUGUGAAUUCUGCAAACCAGACAGAAGAGGGAGCUAUCCAUCUGGAAAUUAACCAAUCCUUUCAAAAACAUGUCAAAUA
rnacentral:lncRNA from 1 species